UACGGAGGGUGCGAGCGUUAAUCGGAAUUACUGGGCGUAAAGCGCACGUAGGUGGUUUUAUAAGUCGGAUGUGAAAGCCCCGGGCUUAACCUGGGAAUUGCAUCUGAUACUGUAUGACUAGAGUAUGCUAGAGGGAAGUGGAAUUCCAGGUGUAGCGGUGAAAUGCGUAGAUAUCUGGAGGAACACCAAUGGCGAAGGCAACUUCCUGGGGCAAUACUGACACUGAUGUGCGAAAGCGUGGGGAGCAAACAGG
rnacentral:rRNA from 1 species